rnacentral:lncRNA from 1 species
CCUGUCUGCUGGUUGGGAGUGUGUGGAGGACAUGCUUAGCAGGUCAUUCUGUCCUUCCAUCUACCUUGAUGCUACUAACUCCUAGUCCAGGCUGCAAAAAAAUGGGUCUCCCGUUGAUAGGGGAGAAGCCUAGCUUCAUACACAUGUCCAGCCUCACCCCUUGGGAUCUCAAACCUUCUGUUUUUCGGAAGGCCUUCCUGGUGUCUACCCUCAAGCCUACCUGUUGCCACUUUGCCUCAGGUUUGUUGGUUUCUUUAUUCAGUAGUAAGAAAUUUGAUGCCUGAUGCAGUUGCCACCUGGGACCCCAUCUGAUGAUGCUUUCUGCUGCGGCCUGGAGAACAAGAGGUCUCUGGAGGAAGAGUUUGCCUUCCAACCUGGAAAGGCACACAGUCAGCUCCCCUUCUCAUCCCUGCUCUGGCCCCUCGGCAUAUGGAUCCUGCCACGUACCAGAUGCUUCGUGCCCGUGCAGAUUUCUGGAGGAAGAGCAUUCCUGACAAAGGAGCAGCAAGGGCAAAGUCCCUGACGAGAGCCUGUCUGGCAUGUUGGAGGGACAGCUAUGAUGCAGCCCAAGCAGAGACAGUAAGAAAAGAGAAUAGGUGACGGGCCUGAGAGGUAAUGGGAGCCAGACCACAGCCUACCGAGGGACUGUGCAGGGACUAAUGAGUCACAGGGAGGCCUGGCUUUCAUGCUGAGUAAGAUGGGGAGUCACUGGAGGGUUUUGAGCAGGAGAAUGACAUGAGCCACCUUGUACUUACACAGAAAAUUCUUACUGCUUUGUUGAGACUAGAUUGAGAACACAAGGGCAGGGAGCCCUGUUAGCUGCCUCCUGCAGCACCAGGUAAGAGAUGAGAGUGGCCUGGACCAUAGGGGUGACAGCGGAGGUGGUGACGAGUAGGCACAUUCUGGAUAUAUCUCUUGCAGAGAGAGCCAAGAACUUUGCUGAUGGGCCAGAUGGAGGCGGUGAGAGAGAGUAUGGAGGCAGGAGGAGGCCAGGGAUCCGGCCCGAGUGACCAAAACCGUGGAGUCAGCAUAAAUUGACAUGGAGACAAACCUCAGCAGGGGCCGGUUUUUGGAGGGGAUCAGUUUGGGACCCGGUAGGUUUGAGACGCCUCCAGGCAGAGGUGUCGGGUAGUCAGAUGGAUACACAGUGCUGGAGUUCAUUAGUGAAGAUCAGGCUGGAGACACAAGCUUGGGGGUCAUCGGUGACACUGAAUCAGAUCCCUGAGGAAUGAGCACAGUAAACAGAGGACAUCCAAUGACAAAGUCCGGCAUUUCAAUAUUUAGACGUUGUGGAGUGGCAACAAAA